AAACAGGUUAAUAUUCCUGUACUUCUGGUUACUGCGAUGGAGGGACGGAGAAGGCUAGGCCAGCUUGGCCUUGGUUGUCCAAGUUUAAGGUGGUAGGCUGAAAUCUUAGGUAAAUCCGGGGUUUCAAGGCCGAGAGCUGAUGACGAGUCGUCUUUUAGAUGACGAAGUGGUUGAUGCCAUGCUUCCAAGAAAAGCUUCUAAGCUUCAGGUAACCAGGAACCGUACCCCAAACCGACACAGGUGGUCGGGUAGAGAAUACCAAGGCGCUUGAGAGAACUCGGGUGAAGGAACUAGGCAAAAUGGCACCGUAACUUCGGGAGAAGGUGCGCCGGCUAGGGUGAAGGAUUUAUUCCGUAAGCUCUGGCUGGUCGAAGAUACCAGGCCGCUGCGACUGUUUAUUAAAAACACAGCACUCUGCAAACACGAAAGUGGACGUAUAGGGUGUGACGCCUGCCCGGUGCCGGAAGGUUAAUUGAUGGGGUUAGCGCAAGCGAAGCUCUUGAUCGAAGCCCCGGUAAACGGCGGCCGUAACAAUAACGGUCCUAAGGUAGCGAAAUUCCUUGUCGGGUAAGUUCCGACCUGCACGAAUGGCGUAACGAUGGCGGCGCUGUCUCCACCCGAGACUCAGUGAAAUUGAAAUCGCUGUGAAGAUGCAGUGUAUCCGCGGCUAGACGGAAAGACCCCGUGAACCUUUACUCUAGCUUUGCACUGGACUUUGAGCCUGCUUGUGUAGGAUAGGUGGGAGGCUUUGAAGCGUGGACGCCAGUUCGCGUGGAGCCAUCCUUGAAAUACCACCCUGGCAUGCUUGAGGUUCUAACUCUGGUCCGUAAUCCGGAUCGAGGACAGUGUAUGGUGGGCAGUUUGACUGGGGCGGUCUCCUCCUAAAGAGUAACGGAGGAGUACGAAGGUGCGCUCAGACCGGUCGGAAAUCGGUCGCAGAGUAUAAAGGCAAAAGCGCGCUUGACUGCGAGACAGACACGUCGAGCAGGUACGAAAGUAGGUCUUAGUGAUCCGGUGGUUCUGUAUGGAAGGGCCAUCGCUCAACGGAUAAAAGGUACUCCGGGGAUAACAGGCUGAUACCGCCCAAGAGUUCAUAUCGACGGCGGUGUUUGGCACCUCGAUGUCGGCUCAUCACAUCCUGGGGCUGAAGCCGGUCCCAAGGGUAUGGCUGUUCACCAUUUAAAGUGGUACGCGAGCUGGGUUUAGAACGUCGUGAGACAGUUCGGUCCCUAUCUGCCGUGGACGUUUGAGAUUUGAGAGGGGCUGCUCCUAGUACGAGAGGACCGGAGUGGACGAACCUCUGGUGUUCCGGUUGUCACGCCAGUGGCAUUGCCGGGUAGCUAUGUUCGGAAAAGAUAACCGCUGAAAGCAUCUAAGCGGGAAACUUGCCUCAAGAUGAGAUCUCACUGGGAACUUGAUUCCCCUGAAGGGCCGUCGAAGACUACGACGUUGAUAGGCUGGGUGUGUAAGCGUUGUGAGGCGUUGAGCUAACCAGUACUAAUUGCCCGUGAG
rnacentral:rRNA from 1 species